AUUGAACGCUGGCGGCAUGCUUUACACAUGCAAGUCGAACGGCAGCACGGGUGCUUGCACCUGGUGGCGAGUGGCGAACGGGUGAGUAAUGCACCGGAACGUAUCCAAUAAUGGGGGAUAACGCAGCGAAAGCUGUGCUAAUACCGCAUACGCCCUGAGGGGGAAAGCGGGGGAUCGCAAGACCUCGCGUUAAUGGAGCGGCCGAUGCCGGAUUAGCUAGUUGGUGGGGUAAAGGCUCACCAAGGCGACGAUCCGUAGCUGGUCUGAGAGGACGACCAGCCGCACUGGGACUGAGACACGGCCCAGACUCCUACGGGAGGCAGCAGUGGGGAAUUUUGGACAAUGGGCGCAAGCCUGAUCCAGCCAUGCCGCGUGAGUGAAGAAGGCCUUCGGGUUGUAAAGCUCUUUCGCAAGGAAAGAAAACUUAGCCACUAAUACUGGCUGAGGAUGACGGUACCUUGAUAAGAAGCACCGGCUAACUACGUGCCAGCAGCCGCCGUAACAC
rnacentral:rRNA from 1 species